GGGACUGCCGGUGAUAAACCGGAGGAAGGUGAGGAUGACGUCAAGUCAUCAUGGCCCUUACGAGUAGGGCUACACACGUGCUACAAUGGGAAGUACAGAGGGACGCCAAAGCGUGAGCUGGAGCUAAUCUCAUAAAACUUUUCGUAUUCCGGAUUGCAUUCUGCAACUCGACUGCAUGAAGUCGGAAUCCCUAGUAAUCCCGGAUCACCACGCCGCGGUGAAUACGUUCUCGGGUCUUGUACACACCGCCCGU
rnacentral:rRNA from 1 species